AACAUGAUUAGCAAAGUUGCUAGCAUGUUUCUAACAUGAUUAGCAAGUUGCUAGCAUAUUUCUAGCAUGAUUAAAAAGUUGCUAGUAUGUUUCUGGCAUGAUUAGCAAGCUGUUAGCCUGUUUCUAGCAUGAUUAACAAAUCGCUAGCAUGUUUCUAGCAUGAUUAGCAAAUCGCUAGCAUGUUUCUAGCAUGAUUAACAAGUUGCUAGCAUGUUUCUAGCAUGAUUAGCAUGUUUCUAGCAUGAUUAGCAAGUCACUAGCAUGUUUCUAGCAUGAUUA